GACAGAGGAUGCAAGCGUUAUCCGGAAUUAUUGGGCGUAAAGCGUCCGCAGGUGGUUUAUCAAGUCUGCUGUCAAAGCGCGAGGCUUAACUUCGUAAAGGCAGUGGAAACUGAUAGACUGGAGUGCGGUAGGGGCAGAGGGAAUUCCCAGUGUAGCGGUGAAAUGCGUAGAUAUUGGGAAGAACACCGGUGGCGAAAGCGGCUUGCUGGGCUCGGUCUGACGCUGAGGCGCGAAAGCGUGGGGAGCGAACAGG
rnacentral:rRNA from 1 species